rnacentral:rRNA from 1 species
GGCGAACGCUGGCGGCGUGCUUAACACAUGCAAGUCGAACGGAAAGGCCCUGCUUUUGUGGGGUGCUCGAGUGGCGAACGGGUGAGUAACACGUGAGUAACCUGCCCUUGACUUUGGGAUAACUUCAGGAAACUGGGGCUAAUACCGGAUAGGAGCUCCUGCUGCAUGGUGGGGGUUGGAAAGUUUCGGCGGUUGGGGAUGGACUCGCGGGUUAUCAGCUUGUUGGUGGGGUAGUGGCUUACCAAGGCUUUGACGGGUACCCGGCCUGUGAGGGUGACCGGGCACAUUGGGACUGAGAUACGGCCCAGACUGCUACGGGAGGCAGCAGUGGGGAAUAUUGCACAAUGGGCGGAAGCCUGAUGCAGCAACGCCGCGUGCGGGAUGACGGCCUUCGGGUUGUAAACCGCUUUCGCCUGUGACGAAGCGUGAGUGACGGUAAUGGGUAAAGAAGCACCGGCUAACUACGUG